AUGCGAUGCAUGCUAACCGGUGAGGCAGUGGGUGCCAUGGCAUUUCGUUUCGUGCCAACGAGGAUGGUGGAGGUUGGUUGCACCACAGAAGGCGAAGACGGGUGGGUGGUGGCCGAGGGUUGGACUGGGGUUGGGGAGCGGGACUACUGGGUUCAUGCGUGGUGCCUCCAUGCAGGCGUCAUCACAAGUUUCCGUGAGUACUUCAACACCUCCGUCACCGUCAGGGAGCUGGGUCGGCCCGCCAAGGAGGACGUGGUAUGGGCUGUGUGGGAAAGUCAAUCGCCCAAGACCAAGGGCCGCUCCAUGCCGGGCCUAGUGCUCGCGAUUUGA
rnacentral:rRNA from 1 species